rnacentral:rRNA from 1 species
UCCACACGACUCUCGGCAACGGAUAUCUCGGCUCUCGCAUCGAUGAAGAACGUANCGAAAUGCGAUACCUGGUGUGAAUUGCAGAAUCCCGCGAACCAUCGAGUCUUUGAACGCAAGUUGCGCCCGAGGCCAUUCGGCUGAGGGCACGCCUGCCUGGGCGUCACG